CCUACGGGGCGCAGCAGUGGGGAAUAUUGGACAAUGGGCGAAAGCCUGAUCCAGCCAUGCCGCGUGUGUGAAGAAGGCCUUCGGGUUGUAAAGCACUUUCAGUGGGGAAGAAAGCCUUGGGGCUAAUACCCUCGAGGAAGGACAUCACCCACAGAAGAAGCACCGGCUAACUCCGUGCCAGCAGCCGCGGUAAUACGGAGGGUGCGAGCGUUAAUCGGAAUUACUGGGCGUAAAGCGCGCGUAGGCGGUCUGAUAAGCCGGUUGUGAAAGCCCCGGGCUCAACCUGGGAACGGCAUCCGGAACUGUCAGGCUAGAGUGCAGGAGAGGAAGGUAGAAUUCCCGGUGUAGCGGUGAAAUGCGUAGAGAUCGGGAGGAAUACCAGUGGCGAAGGCGGCCUUCUGGACUGACACUGACGCUGAGGUGCGAAAGCGUGGGUAGCAAACAGGAUUAGAUACCCGAGUAGC
rnacentral:rRNA from 1 species